AUGAACGCUGGCGGCGUGCCUAAUACAUGCAAGUCGAGCGCACAGACGAGGAGCUUGCUCCUUUGACGUUAGCGGCGGACGGGUGAGUAACACGUGGAUAACCUACCUAUAAGACUGGGAUAACUUCGGGAAACCGGAGCUAAUACCGGAUAACAUGUUGAACCGCAUGGUUCAACAGUGAAAGACGGUUUUGCUGUCACUUAUAGAUGGAUCCGCGCCGCAUUAGCUAGUUGGUAAGGUAACGGCUUACCAAGGCAACGAUGCGUAGCCGACCUGAGAGGGUGAUCGGCCACACUGGAACUGAGACACGGUCCAGACUCCUACGGGAGGCAGCAGUAGGGAAUCUUCCGCAAUGGGCGAAAGCCUGACGGAGCAACGCCGCGUGAGUGAAGAAGGUCUUCGGAUCGUAAAACUCUGUUAUUAGGGAAGAACAAAUGUGUAAGUAACUAUGCACGUCUUGACGGUACCUAAUCAGAAAGCCACGGCUAACUACGUG
rnacentral:rRNA from 1 species